rnacentral:lncRNA from 1 species
UGCAAGUUUGUUUGUUUAUUACCAUUUCACACUUUAAUUACUCAAUCGAUCAUCAUGAAAUUUUGAAUACACAUUAUCAGAGAUACGCGAAAGGACAUAGGGUACCCUUUAUCAAAAAAAAAAAAAAACAAAUGCUGUUCCCGAGGGAUAGAAAAAUUUGUUUUAUGUGAUCGUCGAUAAUCUUUGACAUAAUAUGUUUGGGACAUCAGCGCAAGCGAAGCCGCGGGUAAAACCUAUCACGAAAAUUUAAACACACUUUGUCAGGGUACAGAAAAGGACAUCAGGCAUCUUUUAACCAGAAAAAAACAAUUAAUUCCUAAGGGAUAGAAAAAUUAGCUUUAUGAAGUCGUCAAUGAUCUUUCACAGGUAUUCAGAACAUCAAUGCGAGCGAAGCCGAGGGUAAAACCUAUCAUGAAAUUUUGUUCUCAUGAGAUACAGAAAUUAAGUUGAUUUGGUCGCCCAUGAUCUUUAACAUGUAUUUACGACAUUAACGUGAACGAAACGAUGGGUAAAACCUAGUAAAUUUAUACAAAAUGAAUAGAGCAAUAUUUUUGUUGUACUGCAUUUUAUUCAAUUAAUUAAAGAUUGUUAUUGAAUUCGAACACUUAUUUGACUAAUUUUUUUAAACUGUUCUACUACCUGUCCAGCCUUUAAUUAAAACCAAUUAACAGCCUUGCUUUAAAACUAUCACAAACCGUUGUUCUAUUAGUUAAAAAAAGAAAAUAUUUCUGCCCAUUUUCUCACGCUUAAACAAUGUAAUUAAUUAUUGCUCCAAGGUGUUAACCAUCACAGAAAUACUGCCACAGUAAAACAAUUAAACCGGGAAUAUAAUGAUCGACCACUUAAAAACCAAUUAGCAAUCAUCGAAGAACGAUUUCUUUUGUCUUAUUAAACGCAUCCAAAUCAUCUUAAAGUAAUGGGCGACCAAAAUUAAUGCCAAACGUUAAAAAGAUUUUCAUUAAACUAUUAAUACAUGAUAUCAAUUAAUAAUUUUGUUAAUUGCUCAGUAAGUAGGUACCUAAACGGUCUGGUGGAGCCAACCGGAAGUUGAUAAUUUCCGUUUCAUCGGGAGCAGAUACUAGUGGGGAGGGGAGGGGGAUGAAAUGAGAAAAGAGAACUUGGAUACUUCAGGAAGAAAUUUUGUGUGAAAAAAAUCAAAUUAAAAAAAUUCUCGUUCAAUAUCACAAAAAAUAAUAAAAUAAAUAUAAAAUUGACAGUUAUGUUUUAAAUAAUAGCUACUUGCUUAGUUUGAAAUUUAUAAUGUUAUCUAAUCAUAUCUGUAAAGCUGGCAGAAGUCUCUAAAAUAAAUUCCUUAGCCAGAACUACCUACCCUGCCCAUAUAAACUAACUUUUAAAAGAUAUCUAACAUUAAAAAUAAACCAAACAAUAGUGAAAAACCAAUACCACAAAAUAAAAAUUAACUCCCAAAAAUCCCAUAGACCAUUUUCGAAAUUCAUUUUGGGCCCCUUUAUUGUACCAUCUAACUAAGAAAACGUAUCUGAAAAAGCCAUUCGCGAAGCUACAUGUAGCUCCAUCCGUGGGCUAUUUGAUUACCUAACACAUUUCCGAAAGUUAAUCUUCAAUAUUUUGUAACACGGAAAAUACGACAGCUUAUUGAAAACGUUGUGUUAUUCUUAUUCUUAAGAAUAUUAUCAAAAAAAAACUUUCUACAACUAUUUUAAGUAACAUCACCCCCGAAGAAUUUUUCUGAAUUCGGUCCUACAUUUCAUCAAGAUUUGAUAAAAGUAUUCAUACAAAUAUGUAUAUUGUAUCUACUUCUGUAUUUAAAGAUGAUAAUGCAUGUUUAUUUUUAACAUAACAAGAACAAUAACAAUAAUAGCGUGGAAUACGUUUGUUUCUGUUUCAUCAACGAGACCAAGCCUAAUAACAAUUAAAAUUAUCUGUGAAUCUUCAAUUCAAGUCGUAAACCGCAACGAUACACUAGCGGAAAAUUAAUAAAUAAUUAAUGUACAACUAGGAAACCAGCAUGUAGUAGCUACCAUUAAACAAUGAUGUCAUAAAGGCAACAGAAUGAUUUUUAACUUUACCACUUAUUCAUCUACUGUGUAGAAUUUCAUCAAACAACAAUAUCGAAUAUGUUGUUUAUUGAAACAAGAGAAAACAGCUGUAUCACCUCUUCCUCUGAUAACAAAUUAGUUAAUGUGUAGAAUGAAUAAGAGUACAGGAAGUUCAAGAACCAAUCGCAGGGAUUUCUGUAUACAAGGGAAGGAAAAUUGUUCACCGAACAUAGAAAUUGCAUGUCUCUUUUUUUUUGUCUCACUAGACGAAAAAUGGGUAAUUUGGUGAAUGUGCCUUUUCCAUCAGGUCUAUCUGAAAAUAUUACGUUCUUCUGUACGAACUGAUAGCUGAAGGUUUUCCUACCAAUUUCCCUAUACCAUGGUCACAUAAUCGUGUUUACUGUGAUUUAGUUUUUCCUCUGUUAUAAUUUUUUUAUUUUCGUUAUUAGUUUUAUACUCGUUUAAACAAGUAGCUGAUUACUUUUAAAAUAAGCCCAAGUAUGAUCGCCAGCUUGUUACUAUUUUAAUUUCGUUAAUUUAACGCAUCAUAUGCAUAGAAAAAAUGCUGACAUAAGAAGUAAUUUAAUUUCACAUUGCGUGUAGCAUGCAACACAAUGCAAACGUUGGAUAUUACGACUCAGAAAACGAUAUAAACGAGUAAUUGUUGUUUAGUCACAAUGCAUUCCAAUGCAUACAAAGUAAAUGAUAAAUGAAAAAUUUUAAUUAAAACGCCAAAUAAAAGAAAUUUAGGAAAAAAUGUAAAUCAACCAAUUUUACUUCUUCUAAUGAAGAACCGUUCGCUGGGAUAUCUAUAUGCAGCAUCAACAACAAAUUUGUACUUCAUUAAAGUAAUUUAAAUUAGCUUUUAACGAAAGCAACCGUGUAAUAAAACAAAAACAGUCCAACGAAAAUCGAUUUAACUAACAAGGAUCAAGGAUGUGUGUGAAGGACGUAUUAUCACGUCAAGCUAUUUCGGGCUUCUUUAGCAGUGAAGUCCUAAUAACAAUCAAAACAAACAAGUUGUAAUUCCCUAAUUCAAAAUAUAAAAAAUACGAUUACAAUAAGAAGCAAUGAAACAAAAACUUAAAGAGAAACUGUUUGAUCGACAACUACAUCAAAAACCACAGUAAGAUUGGAUCAAAAUAUUUGUACGGAAAAAAUAUUUUUGUGGGUUUUUUUGGAAAAAUCUACCCUUUAUAAACAAUCUGUGUGGUGUCAUGGAAUCAGAUGUACGAACUGACGUAAUUUAUAGAUCUCAUCUCGUUUUCGUUUUUCACAGAGAGGAAAUGAAAUAAAUUGGCCUGCCCUACUUCGUCGCUAGACAAUAAAUUUUGCGAUAAAACUUUUGGCAAGGAAUAGAUAUUGCCCUUUUUAAGGACAACAACCCCUUCAAAGCAAAGGUUACGACUCCUUGUUGAAAUAUAUCUCCUAUCAGAAUUCCAUUAAGUAGGUACAGAUAAACAUUAUUCUUUUUCCAAAUCUAAAUUUUAUUAUUUCGCCAAGAAUUUUAUGCCGUAGCAAAUCAAUAGUUUAACAACAACAAAGUUUAAGCAAACAGUUUUAUAAUUCACUGCAGGCCUAACAUCGAUCUCUAUGCGACUGCAGAUGCAUUUCUUAAUCAUUCUGGGCGGCACUGAAAAUGGAUUUUGAAGCAGAUCCACGAAUUAUCCGCUUUUCUUUAAGCGAUUCCAAAUAAUAACGUACUUGGUAUCUGAGGUAUUUAAGAUCAUGGCAAACUAAGUAGAAAAGUAAAAAAAAACCCUAGACCACAGGAAACUUUUGCAAUAACUUUUUAAGACUUAGCACUUAAAUGCAUUCAGUUAAAACAUUACAAUGCGAUAACAACAAAAAUGUCUGACGUAAAAAUUAUUCAAAUUAGUAUUUUAUCUAACUUUGCCAUUCAAAAAAUUCCUUGUUGUUUAACAUAUGUAUUUAUAUCUAACAGGAUGUAGAGAACGUUUAUUCGUAACAUUGUUAUUUAAUAAUAUUCCUGUAAGUUCUAUGACCUUGGGAAGUAAUAAUAAAUAAUUAAUUUAAACCCCUUGUAGUCAAAAUCUAUUCCAACUGUAGUAUUUCUACGUAAAAGCAAACACAAUGUUGAUAAACAGGCCAGUAAAAUUUUAAACAGACCAAGAAAAAUUAAUUACUGAUUACACUUAAUUGUAAUGAGUUUACUAUCACGUUAAAUUUAUGGCAGCAUAAAAAAAAGUAAAACAAAGCAGUUUUAACGUUUUUAUGGAUUCAAGUACAUAACACCAUUCGAAAUUGUACACAAUUUUAGCCUAGGACAGAAGUAAACAACAACUGACGCGAGCUUUGAAGCGCAUUAAUGAAUUAAUAAAUAAUUAUCAUUGCAGAACAGAUGAGACAUGUUAAGUAUUAUGGGUCUAGGUCUAUAAAGCAGG